rnacentral:rRNA from 1 species
AUUGAACGCUGGCGGCAGGCCUAACACAUGCAAGUCGAGCGGAGCACCAGACGGGGACGUAAUGCCUAUGAAUCUGCCUGUUAGUGGUGGAGAACGUUCGGUACCGGACGCUGUUACUGCAUACUAUCAGAUGAGCCUAUGUGGGAUUAGCUAGUUGGUGGGGGAGAGGCCAACCAAGGCCACGAUCCGUAACUGGUCUGAGAGGAUGAUCAGUCACACUGGGACUGAGACACGGUCCAGACUCCGACGGGAGGCAGCAGUGGGGAAGAUUGGACAAUGGGCGAAAGCCUGAUGCAGCCAUGCCGCGUGUGUGAAGAAGGUCUUCGGAUUGUAAAGUACGUUAAGGUGGGAGGCGUUACCAACAGAAUAAGCACCGGCUAACUCCGGGCCAGCAGCCGCGGUAAUUC